rnacentral:lncRNA from 1 species
CUGCACAGACCAGAAAGCAAACCCUCACUGGAACCAAAUAAGCAGGCACUUUGAUCUUGGACUUCUCAGUCUCCAGAACUGUGAGAAAUAAAUAGCUGUUAUUUAAGCCCCUUGGUCUAUGACACUUCACAAUAGCAGUGGAAACAGACUGAGACAGAGGAUCUCUCUGAAAACAAGAUUCUUUCAUGUUUAAGGAAGAAUUUUUUUUAUAAAAUAAUGGCAACGAGCUAAACAGUGGAGCAAUAAGGGAGGAAGGGGAGUGGACUAUCUGUACCAUUUUCCAUGCAUUCUGUAAAGACAUGGCUGGGAACACCAAACCCGUGUGGGAAUGCAAACAUUUCCAGAGAGCUAAGUUAUGACUACAAGCACUGAUCAAAUCAGAUUGGACUGUGUACUCUGAGGAGCCACUGUUCCAGAAGUAACUCCAACUCUGUCUUCUGAAGACAAAGAACACCGUGAGUCAGCAUGUUCAGAUAGUUCUGUGGAACCAGUGUGGCACCUGCCAUAAAUUGCAACAGCCUCUGCCAAAUUCCUUGAAACAUACACAGGGCCAGGAACUCUUUCCAUUGCAUAUGGGAUGUCUUGAAGACACAGAGGAUUAAGUGAAUUUCCAGCCCUUCACUGAUGUUGUGGGGAAGACAUAUGAAAAGGUAUAUCUUAAAGCUGGGUCCAGUGUUAAAGACUUGAGAGCCAUCUAACCAGCCAGCCAUCCAUUCUUCAGAGGAGACAAAGAACAUGGAAGGAAAUUGUAAACCUGCCAGCAUCUAUCUGGACUACAAAAAAUGGCCUUGAUGCCUUUUCUUUUUUAAUUCCCAAAAGUUUGUGUCCUCUAUUAGC